rnacentral:lncRNA from 1 species
ACUUCCGGGGUGGCGCCUCCGGAAAAUGGCGGAAUUCCCUUCGGACUGAAGGGAACCCGCUGCACGGAGGCUUGGGUCCUGCCGCUACGGCGCAGCGGGGACCCGCAAAAACCACAGGCGGAAGAAGCCUGUGGACGUGGGACUCGGCGGGCACCGAGAGCGCUCUCCCCUUGUACAGGAGCCCGGCAACGGGCUCCGGAGUGGGAGGUGCGUGGUGCUGUGAGUCGACUGCUUCCUCCGUGCAGCAAAGCCGCACUGCCGUUAUCGGAGAGCGCUGCCUUUUUCCUGGACAAUUUGGCAUCUAAAAUAUCUAUCCGUGAGUACCUGAUCUUGGAAGAGUUGAACCACUUUUAAGACUGGUGAAUAAACAAAUAAUAUUGGACUUGAAAUUGAACUUAAUUGGGACUCGGAAUGGGAAGGUCUAAACAGGAAGUCGCCUUCCGUUCUUUUGUUAUGUGAAGAAAGCAAAGACAAAAUAUACUAAAGCUUGAAAAUUAAAUUCUAAGAGAACUAGAAUUCAACAUCUAAGAUUUCUGAACCCCCUUUGACUGCAGGAGAAGAAGGGGGUUGUAUUUGGACUUUUCAAUCCUGCGGAAGUGAGUUUAAAAUAAAGCAAUUUUCCACCGCCCUGAACCAGGAGCGGGCUGUCAGAAUUGACGUUCUGAAGUUUAUCCAGCUCGACAGUUAGUUAAAAGAAGGGUAACAUUUUGAUUCUACUGUUGCCUCUUGAAUUUGGAAGGGGGAAUUUUGGAUAAAGUGUUUCUGGAAAAAGAAAGAUUGUUGCUGUUGCUUUUAUUCCUUUAAAAAAAAAAAAUUUCCAUCUAGUGGAAUUUAGUGAAAUUGCAACGCAGAGAGAUUAAAAGAGAAGGACUAUUGGACUAUUGUCGUGGGAAAGAAUUUUCUUUGACCUUGAAGGACAAUGCUAGUACAAAGGCUUGAACAAUUGUUCCUGGAAGGUUUUUCAAAACUAAGUGCCCAGCUGGACCAGAUGCGUCAGGAGACGACCUUGAUGAUGGAAGUUACCAGAGCACAGCAGCAAACAAAUGAAAUUCAGUUAAAGGCUAUACAAGCAUAUGAACCUGCUGUAGUGACGGAGGCUUCAGAGAUGGAGGGACCUUUGGACGGGCAAGAUCAGCCUUUGAACUUGAUAAAUGAACUUGGGACAAACCAGAUUCGGAAAGAUGAAAUGUGGUCAGAUUUGGAAAUGGGGGAUGGAUCGACCCCCUCCAUAUGGUUAUUUGGACCUUCCGAGUCUGGUGAUGGGCUAUCAGAGGAUUGGAGUAGCCGAAGUCUCCAAGCUUUGUGGAAAUUUGAAGUGGUAUUAUUUGCUGUCUGGCUUGGGCAAUGGGUUUGGGAUGGACUUGCUGCAAAGGGUCAAAAGCAUUUUCUUGCUGGAGCAUCCACGACUGGAAAGGAAUCAUCAACAAGAGUGGCGAAAGGGGCAAGAAAGAGACUUGAGGGCCUCGGAUACGAGACAACCAGGUUAAGGAGCCGGAUUAUCGAGGUUAAAAGGACUGACAAUCCCGGGUCCAGGGGAGGGGAGGUUGGAAGCUGACUGGACUGAAUUUGACUUAUUAUUUUUUCUUUUUAUUUUUUAAUAUUGGGAAUGCUUACAAAUGUUUGAAGGAUGUUGAAUGAAAUUACAUGGCUUAAGUAAGGAUUGGUAAAUGAUUCGUAAAAAGGUAAUGAUGCAAGAAUUUGGUAAAUAUUGAAUAUAAGCUAUGAGUUUUAAAGUUUUUAUAUGACAAGAGGGAAAAUAGAAUAAGGAAACGUAAUGACAGAUUGUUAUGAAAAACAGAAAGGAUUUGCUGUAAAAAUUAAAAAUUAAGAAACAAAAGAGGGGAGGAGGAGGAAGUCUAGAAAGGAAGUCAAUAGAGAUUGUAAAGGACUUUAUAUUUUUGUUUUUCUGUUUCUCUUUUUUUUUCUUUGCGGCUGGGUUUUCUUUUCUUUUUUGUUUAUGUACUAUUUUUGUUUUUUGUAUCCUCAAAUUUUUUUUUGGAAAUUUUUGUUGUUAUUCUUUGAAAAUUUAAUAAAUAUCAAUUAUAAAAAAAAAAA